GAUGAACGCUGGCGGCGUGCCUAAUACAUGCAAGUCGAGCGAACGGACGAGAAGCUUGCUUCUCUGAUGUUAGCGGCGGACGGGUGAGUAACACGUGGAUAACCUACCUAUAAGACUGGGAUAACUUCGGGAAGCCGUAGCUAAUACCGGAUAAUAUUUUGAACCGCAUGGUUCAAAAGUGAAAGACGGUCUUGCUGUCACUUAUAGAUGGAUCCGCGCUGCAUUAGCUAGUUGGUAAGGUAACGGCUUACCAAGGCAACGAUGCAUAGCCGACCUGAGAGGGUGAUCGGCCACACUGGAACUGAGACACGGUCCAGACUCUUACGGGAGGCAGCAGUAGGGAAUCUUCCGCAAUGGGCGAAAGCCUGACGGAGCAACGCCGCGUGAGUGAUGAAGGUCUUCGGAUCGUAAAACUCUGUUAUUAGGGAAGAACAUAUGUGUAAGUAACUGUGCACAUCUUGACGGUACCUAAUCAGAAAGCCACGGCUAACUACGUG
rnacentral:rRNA from 1 species